GCCAGGCAUGAUGGCGCAUGCCUGUAAUCCCAGCUACUUGGGAGGCUGAGGCAGGAGAAUCGCUUGAACCUGGGAGGUGGAGGUUGCAGGGAGCCGAGAUUGCGCCACUGCACUCCAGCCUGGGUGACAGAGCGAGACUCUGUCUCAA
rnacentral:SRP_RNA from 1 species